rnacentral:lncRNA from 1 species
AUGGAUAUCGAGGCUUCGAUCUGAUCAGAAGCUUCUUGAUCUCAUCAGGAUGCUAGCUCCCUUACAGAGAUCAUAUCUUGACAGUUGAAAAUUUUUUUUUCUCUCAAGAUACUCUUAGAGAAGAAGAAGAAAAUAGAAGGAUGAUGAUCUCUACGCUAGAGAUCAUGAAAAGAACACUUUCUUCUCUUUUCUUCCUAAAAUUCAUGCAACAAAUUUCUAUGAUAG